UUCAUCAUCUUCAUCUUCUUCCUCCCGUGCACCAACAAAAAAGAUAUUAAAAAAAAACGAUUACAUUCUCAUGCUCUUUAAAUACUUAUUAGGGGUAACGGGUUCAUCUUUGAUGAAUAAUUUUUUCCAUAUUUAAUAAAUAAAACAAAAAUAAAUAUUCGAGAUGAGGACACAUGAUUUAAACACAUUACAAAAAGAUUCUGGCAUUAGACUCG
rnacentral:lncRNA from 1 species